UGCACAUGCUAGCACAGGUAACCGCCGUAGCCGAUGGAAGACAGCGAGGCAGAGCCGAAGAACUUCACGUCUUCAGGAUCUGACAGCACAAUUAGAUGUUGAAACACUACAGUAGAAAAAAACUGAUGGAGAGGGAACCUGCUGUGAAGGAUACAGUGGAAAGGUGGCCAGCACUCUUUAUGGAGUGUCAGAUUCUGGCAGAGUUCACUCUUAUAUCUGGCAAAGACCUACAAACCGAAUUAUUUCUAGAACUGGACCGUUGACAUCUCAGAGCCAAAGGGGGAGACAUUGGCUCUAAACUUAAGAAGAUUCUGCAACAGAAUUUCAACAUUCAACAUUGAAAAUAAUAAAUCUGACAUCAUUGGGAGAUGCAGUUAUUCAUGGCCUUCCACUCCUCCUCGGAGAAGACCCCACUGAUUUUUACAAGACAUGUAUUGACUAUGAUGAUGAAGGCAAUUCAAGCGGCAUAUUGACAUUGAACCCUAAGGACUGUGAAACCAUACCUAACUCGCUGAACCUUGACGCCACAUCCACUGCCAUCUUUUUGGAAGGUACAAGUCUAAUGGAAGAAAUCUUACCCAAGCCAUGUGCCUCCUUUUUGGGCUCUUUUAUGCUCUGAAUUUAGAGUACCCUCCAGUAAUGAAGAACAACUUUGAUUUCAUCCAGGCGGUGAUUUUGUCACUCGGGCACAAGUCUCUGAAACUUAAAAUACUAUCUCUGAAACAUAUUCUAAUGCAGUAACGUCACUUUUCUCCAAUUCUACAUUUAACGUUUUGUGAAAAGUUAAAGAUGUGAAAAAGUUACAUUGAUCUUUUAUCUUUCCAGAGUGCAAUACAGUAUGUGCAUUUAUCUCAGAAUUGUUGACUGAUGUCAGAAGGACUUGAAUGAACAUUGUUGUUAAUGUUUUAUAGAAAUAAAUGACUUUGUUGUUG